rnacentral:sRNA from 1 species
CCUGUCGAUUCCGGCACUGAGCGCCAGG